rnacentral:rRNA from 1 species
UGAGGAAUAUUGGUCAAUGGGCGGGAGCCUGAACCAGCCAAGCCGCGUGAGGGAAGAAGGUACAGCGUAUCGUAAACCUCUUUUGUCAGGGAACAAAGGCGGGGACUAGUCCCCGGAUGAGGGUACCUGAAGAAAAGCAUCGGCUAACUCCGUGCCAGCAGCCGCAGUGCUCGCCUACGGGAGGCAGCAGUAGGGAAUAUUGCACAAUGGAGGAAACUCUGAUGCAG